rnacentral:rRNA from 1 species
UCGAGGGGUAGAGUGCUUCGGCGCUUGAGACCGGCGUACGGGUGCGUAACGCGUGUACAAUCUACCUUUUGCUAAGGGAUAGCCCGAAGAAAUUUGGAUUAAUACCUUAUAGUAUUAUUUGGUGGCAUCAUUGAAUAAUUAAAGCUACGGUGGCAAAAGAUGAGUACGCGUCCCAUUAGCUAGUUGGAGUGGUAACGGCACACCAAGGCUACGAUGGGUAGGGGUUCUGAGAGGGAUGUCCCCCACACUGGUACUGAGACACGGACCAGACUCCUACGGGAGGCAGCAGUGAGGAAUAUUGGACAAUGGUCGGAAGACUGAUCCAGCCAUGCCGCGUGCAGGAUGACGGCCUUAUGGGUUGUAAACUGCUUUUGUAUGGGAAGAAUAAGGUCUACGUGUAGAUUGAUGACGGUACCGUACGAAUAAGCAUCGGCUAACUCCGUGCCAGCAG